UCUGAAUUUGGGWACGGCUCCGCAAACCAGUUGUAAACCGAGGCAGGGCUCCCUCCCGCGGUCCCGUUUCGGUGGGACCGCGGGUUAACAUAUGGAUAACCGUGGUAAUUCUGAGGCUAAUACAUGACGUACAAAACCUCGCUCYGGGCUUGCCUGGGGCGGGGGGGCGUGCGACUCAAGGCUGGGGUAGCAUCCAUGACAGAACGCACGCUCGGACCACCGCUAAGGGUGAGGGGCUUCGGCUCGGAUCCUGGUGGCCCCCGCAAUGUGCUUCUGACCUAUCAACUAGACGGCAGCGUAAGGGACAUGCUAUGGUGACAACGGUA
rnacentral:rRNA from 1 species